AGGCAGCAGUAGGGAAUUUUGGGCAAUGGGCGAAAGCCUGACCCAGCAACGCCGCGUGAAGGAUGAAGUAUUUCGGUAUGUAAACUUCGGAAGAAUGGGAAGAAUAAAUGACGGUACCAUUUAUAAGCUCCGGCUAACUACGUGCCAGCAGCCGCGGUAAUACGUAGGGAGCAAACGUUGUUCGGAUUUACUGGGCGUAAAGGGCGCGUAGGCGGCGCGGUAAGUCAGCUGUGAAAUCUCCGAGCUUAACUCGGAACGGCCAGCUGAUACUGCAGUGCUAGAGUGCAGAAGGGGCAAUCGGAAUUCUUGGUGUAGCGGUGAAAUGCGUAGAUAUCAAGAGGAACACCUGAGGUGAAGACGGGUUGCUGGGCUGACACUGACGCUGAGGCGCGAAAGCCAGGGGAGCAAACAGGAUUAGAUACCCCGGUAG
rnacentral:rRNA from 1 species